UGACGGUGGGGAGAGGACAAUUUAAACUCAGUUUCUUGGCCAUCUAUUUUAAAUCUGAAGUAUUUUAGACACCAGUAGACUAUGUAGGUCCCUGUGUUAAGAGCUAUCAGAUUACAGAGAGAAAUAUGACGUGGCCUAGCCUCAGGAUCUGGAACCAAUGGAGAACUCCAGAAGCACUAAGUGGGAUGAAGAAAUCUAAUAGUGCAAAAUGCAUUCAAAAACAGGCAAGAUUGAGUGAGCAGUCAGGGAAUAUUUUAGGGGAAACUAUGCAACUCUUCAUGAAGGUUAUACAUUGAAGCAUUUUCUUAAUAUCAGAAAAGGCCUCGAAAAUGUAAUUGUGUGAGUUGAGUAGCUGGCUACUGCUUUAAAGACAAAAACUCUCCUAAGAUUGGAUGGAUCUCAAAAUGUAAUAGGUUUGAUUACAGCACAUCAUGUUAUAAACCUAGCAAUAAAACAAAAUUCAAAUAGCAUUCCUCAAGAAACAAAUAAAUAAAAUAAAACCAGAACAAACCUAUAUAGAGCAAGUCCAUGAUAAAAUAACAUCAGCCAAUAACGCAAGUGUUAAUACUAUCUUUUGACCUCAGAAUUAUUUUUAAAAAAUGGCCUGGUAAUAUCUCUUUUUAUUGGAUUAGACCUGAUAAGGUGCCUUGCAUGGAGUAUGACUAGAGGAUGUUAACAUGUAUGACACCUAUUAUCAGAAUAUGCCAUCUUAUCAGUGUUAACAUUAUUACACAAUUGGCCCAAGCAUUACUCAAUACUGUGCAUUUGCUCACAUCCUGCUCUAGAAAUUAGUAAAUUAGUAAAAUGUGAAUGCAUUUCCUUUAAGCACACAACAGCUAUCUGUACUUUGGAACCGUCAGCCGUAACAAGUCAUCUUGUAUAAACAUACUUUCCCAGCCUAAUCAGACUCCUCAGUAAUUUGCCUCCUCACCCCAGGCCAUCCGGAAAUUCUGUCAAGGAGAAAAAGCUCCAGGGCACUGUGGUUUCCCCCCUCCCAAUGUUUAUUUUAUACUUUUUUUUUUUUUCUUUUUUCUUUUACAAAAAGCUUCCUGGUGUUCAAAACUCCGUGUAGUUCCUGUUUCCCCGUCUGAGAGGAGGCAGAGGUGGGGACCUCGAAGCUAUGGGAGUCUGAGAGUCUGGAGGCAGAUCCAGCUUGUCCCCAAAGACAGGGGCUUCCAAGAGCUGGAGGCUGGCCAGGUCACAGGCAGUACACAAGUUGCUGGAAAUGUUCUGUUUUCUUGAGUGCCGGUGCUUUCCUCCAGGAACUGACAUCCUAACGCCUGAUGAGUGGGCGGAAGAGGCAGAGGGGAGACACAACAGACCGUCAGCCAACCUGCCCUUCCGAGGAUGGACACCUCCCACCACUGAGCAAGGCUACGCUUCAGGGGCGCUCACUCGUAAAAAUGGAAACUAAACAGCACGAAGGAAGUGAGGAAGAGAAUCAUUUCUCUUGUUUCCCACACCAUCAGGUGAGAGGCCUUCCUCGUUCCUUUCCCAGGUGACUCAGGUGCUAUUAGUGUAUUAAUGCAGCCCGUCACCCUAUCUGCGCCCAGCUCUCCCAGCCUAGAUCCACUGACUUGGGCCUGAUUUCCUUAGGAUCCAAGGUAAUGUCACCUAUUUCCAAAGACCCAAGUGUCCAACCAAUUGUAAAGCAAGACUGUUUUAUGAGUCACUCAUAGCGUGAUGACCCUCAUGAUGCUUUGACUCAUAUUGACUCAUAUUGGACUUCCAAAGGUUAUUUUGAAAUGUACCCAAUGCUCUGACUUAUGGGUAAAGUUCCGCAGGGAAAACCACAUGGUAAAUAUGUAUUUUUUAUCUUAAUUUUUAAUGUAGUAAAAUAUAUAUAACAUGAAAUUUAUUUACCAUUUUAACCAUUUUAAAUGUGGACAAUUCUCACAAUGUUGUGCAAGCAUCACCACCAUUUACCUCUGGAACUUUUGGCCUUUCCAAACUGAAACUCUGUGCCUGCAGAGUAGUGACCCCACUCCCACCCCGUGCUCCCGUCUGCCGACCCUGGCCACUACUGUUCUUUCCGUCUCUGAAUUUGAAGACACUUGGGACCUUAUGCAAACAGAAUACUAUAGGAUUUGUUCUCUUGUGACAGCCUAGAAGGAAGAAAGGGUUUUUUUCUCCUUUAUAUCUUCACAACACUUCACUUUGACACCAAAUGUGUGGGGUUUUCUUCACACCAACCAGUUCUCCAAUUCUCUGGGACACCAACAAUUGUGACAACUGCCCCGCAAUCCAAUUCAGUUCUGACACUGUACACCUGGAGUUAAUGCCAGAUCCCAUAGGUUAAGGGCUCAUUCCCACCAGACUGUCCUUAUGUAAGAUGCCAAUCACUAGGCUGGGCCUUCCUUCUGACUUCCAACCAAUAGGCUAUAAAUCAGAUUCCUAUGCACUUCUCCUUGGGCCCUACAAUUUGCUAGAAUAGCUCACAGAACUCAAGAAAACACUUUAUGUUCACACUUUUCUUAUAAAGGAUUCAACUCAGGAACAGCCAGAUGGGAGAGAUGCAUAGGGCAGAGUAUAUGGCAAGGGGCACAGAUCUUCAUGUGCUCCUGCUCCAGGGGCAUCACCCUCCAAGUACCUCCAUGUGUACCUCAACCCAGAAGCUCUCCGAACUGCAACCUUUUGGGACUUUUCUGGAGGCUUUGUUAUGUAAACACAACUGAUUAAAUCACUGACCAUAGGGACUUAGGUCCAGACUCCUUCUCUCCUCCUUAGAGGUUGGGGAUUGGGGCUAAACCCAUGGUGGGUUCCCCUGGCAACCAGUUCCCCUCCAUCAGCCUUAGGGACUUUCCAAAAGCCACCUCUUCAACUUGAAUUCAGGUGUGGUUGAAAGGGGUGGUUAUGAAUAACAGAAGAUGCUUCAGAGGAGCUAUUUCAGGAACUGAGGAUGAAAACCAAUUAUAACAAAAGAUGCUCCUUUUGCCCUUAGAAAUUCCAAGGGUUUUAGGAAACAAAGAGCUGGGGACAAACACACUGGCUUAUUUUGUGUAGCAUAAUGUCUUCAAGGUUCAUCUUUGUCCUUCUCCUUCUUAAGGCUGAAUAAUAUUUCAUUGUAUGCGCAGAGGACUUUUUGUUUACCCACUCACUGGUGGAUGGAUACUUGGGUGGACACUUGGUUGGACACUUGGCUGGCACAAAGUAAAUAUUUGCUUUCUUCAUUAA